UUCACUGUUAAUUCUAGUUUAGGCUACACCAUCGGGAUUCGAGAGAUAUCAAUGUUUUGCAUGUCUCUAUUCUGGAUUUGGAGCUUCAUAUUAUUUCAUACUAACUUAAUUAGUGGUAAUGAAGGAGUUUGAUUUGUUUUUUCAUCUGUUCUGUUUAGGAAUGCAUCCCUUCUUUUUAACGGGAACAUUUUGUACCUCCAUACAUAAACAGGUGCAGAAACGUGUAUGUGACACACUGAAACUUCUUUAUGAAUUCCUGAAUUGUUUUGGUUUUCGGAUGUUCAACAUCUCUGUACAGGAUCCCAUGCUUUGAUUGUGUAGGUAGAAGGGGAAUAAAAUAGUAGAAUCUUACGGAGCAUAGCUUGUUUGAUUCCUGGAAUCAGAGAAACGUGUUUUGUUGCCGAGUGCACCUAGUACAAAACGCGUAGCCGUCUCCACCACUGCCGGCCAAGAUGUCGCCGCUGUCCCCUGUCAUUGUCGCCGGAUAAGUUCAAGUCAACUUCUCCGGCGGCCGGCGGCAAUUGUGCACCUCUCCAUCAAUAGACUUUCCUCUCAGCGGUGCACUGUAUAACAAAUCAUUUUACAAUUCUCAUAUAAACCUUACAAAAGAAAUCAUAGAUCAAAAUUAUUACCUCAGUUUACAAUGUUGAUAAUUUCAUUGGCUAGUUUUUUUCCCCUUUACAAACAAAUAACAACACAUCCGCUUGUUCACUCAUUUGACUCGAAACAGAGACAACUGGUGAAUGAUUGCAUUUCCUCCGAUUUCUGGUUGUUAGAUUCAGAAACACCCUGCACCUCACAUCUACAGACUAAAGUGAGUAAGCAGAGUUGAUAUCAUCCUUUGCCUCGGGCAAAGGCUCCUGUGAUGUAUCGUGGACAGAAAGCAAAUCGAGCUGGGAACCAUCCCUCUUAUCGAAGAAUAACUUGUUACCAACACGCUGAACCUUCUCAUCGCUGGGUCAUCGGUGCCGAUUUGCUCAUUAGAUUUCCCAAGGAUCGCGGUGACAAAUACAUAUGAAAAUCAUCACUGUCUCCCAACCCAGUUCCAAUUAGCAUACUCCAACGAAGAAAAUUACGAAAGUGUCACUAUCCAAUCUCAAACCUAGCUCUAGUCCUAUUUCCACUCCAGUAAAUAAAUCAGCUCAUCUCGAACUCGUACUAUAAAAUCAGGUUCAGAUUGAGCUUCUAAUUCGCAUGCAUUCAUCGGAAAUUGAAAGAGGGAGGGAGGGCGGGAGGGAGGAAGAAAAUGGAGGGAAAGUUACCCCAAGAGAAAAUGGAGGGAAAGUUACCUCAAUCCGAUGAAGAGCUCGUACAUCUGGCCAAUAACGGCGGCAUUCCCGUUAAGAGUAGAGGAGCGUGGUGGUGGCCAUAGGCUAGCGGACGUAGACGGCUGCGAUCUCAUUUCCGAGGCGAGUAGUGAGGCAGAGGAUGUCGACGUUCUGGGGGAACUGGUGGAGAAGGAGGAGACCAAUUACCAGCCAUGAUCCUUCCUCUGUUUUUUUAGUUUGAGAACGGAGAGAUGAAAUGAAGAGAGGAAGAAAGAAAGGGAGAGAGAGGGUGGUGGGGAUAGGAGAGAUUGGUUUUUAUUUUUAUUUGUUAAUGUUUUUUAUUAAUGAUUAGGACAUUAAUGAUGAUGUGGCGUGUAUGUGUGGCCAGUAUAUGUUGGCAAUAUAAAUGGAAGUCGACGAAAAUUAUGGAUGAUAUUAAUGAUAAAUUACUAU
rnacentral:lncRNA from 1 species